UUUCGAAGGGACAAUUUGCUUCGCUUGC
rnacentral:sRNA from 1 species